UACGGAGGUCUCAAGCGUUGUUCGGAUUCAUUGGGCGUAAAGGGUGCGUAGGCGGCGCGGUAAGUCGGGUGUGAAAUCUCGGGGCUUAACUCCGAAACUGCAUUCGAUACUACCGUGCUUGAGGACUGGAGAGGAGACUGGAAUUUACGGUGUAGCGGUGAAAUGCGUAGAUAUCGUAAGGAAGACCAGUGGCGAAGGCGGGUCUCUGGACAGUUCCUGACGCUGAGGCACGAAGGCCAGGGGAGCAAACGGG
rnacentral:rRNA from 1 species